GGGUGAAGAAUAAGCUGUUAAAAGUACUUUGGAGGCCAUAAUUUCAUUAGCUGCUUCAGUAUAAUGGAUCCCAUCCCAGCUUAAAAAUCGAGAUCCUUCAUCACAGACCUGAUAGCCAGGCUGACCACAUGUUACCUUGAUAUUGUAAUUGUAUGGACGUCCUCCAUAACCACAACAUGCCAUUAGCGGACUUGAAAAACCAUAUUUGGAGGAGUUGGCAAUGAGAUCAUAUUUGAUCGAAUACAUAUCUACAUAAACUAUAGCUG
rnacentral:misc_RNA from 1 species